CGUGGGAACCUGCCCUACAGUGAGGAAUACCGGCGAGAAAUCGCCGACAAGACCGCAUGAGCUCUCGCAAGAGAGGAAAGCCUCGUGAGAGGUGCUGAAGGAGGGGCCUGCGCCCGAUUAGCUGGUUGGUGAGGUAAGAGCUCACCAAGGCGUCGAUCGGUAGCUGGUCUGAGAGGACGAGCAGCCACACUGGGAUUGAGAACGGCCCAG
rnacentral:rRNA from 1 species